rnacentral:misc_RNA from 1 species
UAUCGACCACGAGCAGAAGCGCCGCUGCGCCUCCUUCGCGCAACACACCUUCAGCUCCCUGCAAGACGAUCGCCUUGGCUGUAAGUGGAUGAAAAAGAAAACGUAACGGCCUCGCCGAAAGGGACAGAGCGCAUCGCGUGCUGUCCACGCCCAUCUCUCCUCUCGCUUUGUUCUGGCUCGCCUGAAAGCCGGGGAAGGCGUGUGUGCGCUGGUAGGCAUUAUCAUCGUCGUGCGUCUUUUGUUUGUCGUUUCGCGUUUUACCACUCUCGUCUGUCAUAGUAUCGGUACGGAGAUAGGUCGAUGGCCUUUGUGGCAUCGUAGGAAUAUAUACACGUACACCGCAGCGCAUCAUCGCCUCACCACUACCCCCCUCCCCCUCCCCUUCCGCCUCGAACCCAUUCUCUCCGCGUAGCGUGGUGAGAGGGUACUAGUUAGAUAGCGAUACUACACAAGUGGAUCAGUGACCGCCACGAAGCAAGCCCGUUCGUGUUCUCUUGCCCCCUUUCAAGCGUUCUUUCGCACUGCGCCCCCGCCCCCCUCCGACCCCACCCCCUCACGCCGCACGCACGGAAAGAUAGUCCACUGGCAACAACGAUGUUCGAACUGGUGACCUACGCCUACAACGGCGUCCUGACGGCGGUGCACCGCAGCUUCAAAAUACAGAAGGAAACGCCCAAGACACUCACGGACCCCGGCACCUUUCUCGCCGGAGCCGUCGCCGGCGGCCUCGGUCGCGUGGCAGCACUGCCGUGUGACCAAGGGGGUCCCAAGGGCAUCAUGCAGACUGUGGGCCGCCGCAUACCGCAAUUCGGUUUCCUUAUGAUGUUCUACUGUCCUAUAGCUCACAAGCUACUCCCCGGGCUGGAGGAGGACCCGGUGUCGAAGAUGCUGACCACCUUCAUGAUCGGCGCAUUCGCAGGUCUCAACAUGCGCCUGGUGUGCAACCCCAUCUCGCGCGUCAUGGAUGAGAGCCGCCGCACCGGCAAGUCGCCCAUCGACACUGCCCGCAUAAUGAAGAACAAGACAAUUUUGCAUUUCUGGUACACAACGCCGAAUCUGAUCGCGAACGCCAUGUAUUUCGGCACUCUCUUCACGGUCUUUGAAGGACUGCGCCGCUUUAACGAACGCAACUUUUCGGCGAUUGUGCAGAACGAGCCUGCUGAGGACACGUUUGUGGUGAGGGAGGAGGUGCAGGAGCAGCUCGUCGGACAGCGUCCGCGCCACCGCGGGCCUGCAGUGGUGGACCAUAACUGGAGCUGGAAGAACUACACCACUACGGUGGCCUCGAACUUUGUCUUAGGUGGGGCGGCGGCGACGGUGGCAUCUACCGUGUGCUACCCGCUUAGUGCACAUCAGUACAUGCAGACCGUGAUUCACGACUCGGCCAUCUGCCGCGGACUCACACCAACGCUGCUGAAGGAGGUGCCGAUGGUGGCCGUCAUGUUCGGCACGUUCUCUGCCAUUCAGCCUCUCCUGGCGCCGCGUCACGGUGUGCGGUGCGGCUUCGGUUACUAAGCCGCAGGGAAGAGGGUGGGUGGGUGGGUGGGUGGCGGGUUUGCUGCCCGAUGAAGGCGACGAUGAAUGGGAAACACAAGAUGGCAUAGGUCUACACUAGAGCUGCUAUACCGUUUUCAUCUCUCGUCGCCUAGUCGGAAUUCGAUCGUAGGCCCUUCAUCUCUUGCGGACUGCAAGCCUUCUUUCACGUCAUCUGUUUCGUUUUCUUCCUUAGAGUGCACGCUGCUAUGCUGCACCGCGUUGUCUUCGCGCGUGUAGACGCGAUUGCUUACGCAGUCACAGACGUGCGCCAGGAGGCAGUGCGUAUGUUUCUUUACGCUGGUGGUGCUGUGGUGGUUGUCGUGGCGAUGUCAAUUGGACUGCAUGCGUGGGAUCGUUGAAUGCGCUUUGCAGGCUCUCUUCUCCCUUUUCUUCGCCGGCCUGCUGCUCAUGAUGGCCGCCCGGACCUGUUUGCUUUUAUGGUUGCGCAGUGCCUGGGAUCUUUGGUUUUACCUUGUCCUUGUUCCUGUUGUAGGCCGCCUGUUCCCCUCCAUCGCCCGGCUGAUUGCGCACUCCUGCAGCGGCUGCCACUGACCAGUGAGAGAUAUG